rnacentral:rRNA from 1 species
AUAAGGAGUCGGACCUGCCCAGUGAAUAAAUUUUAAACGGCCGCGGUACUCUGACCGUGCAAAGGUAGCAUAAUCAUUUGCCCUAUAAUUGAGGGCUAGUAUGAAUGGUUUGACAAGAAUAAAGCUGUCUCUUUAUAAUUAUAUAGAAUUUUAUCUUUAGGUGAAGAAGCCUAAAUAAAAUUAAAAGACAAGAAGACCCUAUCGAGCUUAAAAUAAAUUAAUAAGUUAAUAAUAAUAUUUAUUUAAAAAAAUAUUUAUUAAAAAUUUUGGUUGGGGCGACUGAGGAACAUAUAAAGCUUCUUUUACAAUAAGUUACUACUAAGUAUUGAUCCAAAAAAUUUUGAUUAAAAAAAUUAGUUACCGUAGGGAUAACAGCAUUAUCUUUUUUAAGAGCUCAUAUCGAAAAAAAGGUUUGUGACCUCGAUGUUGGACCAGAAUGUCCUAAAGAUGCAGAAGUCUUUAAGGGUUGGUCUGUUCGACCAUUAAAAUUCUA